CGUGUGCUAGUUACGCCCAGCGCCGCUUUAGGUUUCUGGAAGUCUCCAUACACUCUUGGGGUCUUUCCCUGCUUCCCUAGGGGAACCUCUCCGUCUCUCCGCCGCUUCUCUGCGGCGGGGGGGGGGGGGGGGGGGGGGGGGGGGGGCGCUCAGAGACAUUGGGAAAGGCCCACUGACUGACCAUUGCUUGAACUUGUUAGUGGGCGGUGGCAGUGUGGUCGGCGUUCAGUACCCCGUCAUUGCCUGUGGUCCUUCGAAGAGUUCAGGAGAAGAAGGACGUCAUGACACCCAUUUGCAGAUAACAUGCCAGGGGUCGAAGGAUUUCACUUAGGGUCACACAGCAGAAAACGGUUUGGUAAAAUCUCCCAACAGUUGGUCUUCAGACCACCUGCAUCAGAUGUUACUGAGACCUUCAUAUAAAUGCUGUUCGAACAGGAUUGUGUCUGACUCCACUUUGCCUGACGCGCCAGUGUAUGUGGUAAUCUGCACAUUCCAGAGUGACGAGCUGGGCCUUCUGGACAGGCCUGAUGGAUUGACUGAUUUUAGAUUUUAUUUAUUUAUUUGAGAGAGAGGGAGAGCAUGAGUGCUCAGGGGGAGGUCAGAGAGGGGGAAAUCUCAAGCAGACUCCAUGAACCAAGUGUGGACUUGAUCUCAGGACCCUGAGAUCAUGACCUGAGCCACAACCAAGAGUUGGAGCCUAACCAUCUGUGCCACCCAGGAGCCCCCUGGGCAGGAUUUAUAAAGGAGGUGGUAGGAAAUGGCUUUGUUAUUCUUAGCUCUUUACUUUUUUCCAGACUCUAAAAAGGACUGGGAAAAUCAAGAAAAGAAGUGGAGACUGGAAAUUACAUUAAAGAU